rnacentral:rRNA from 1 species
GACGAACGCUGGCGGCGUGCCUAAUACAUGCAAGUAGAACGCACAGUUUAUACCGUAGCUUGCUACACCAUAGACUGUGAGUUGCGAACGGGUGAGUAACGCGUAGGUAACCUGCCUGGUAGCGGGGGAUAACUAUUGGAAACGAUAGCUAAUACCGCAUAAUAUUGAUUAUUGCAUGAUAAUUGAUUGAAAGAUGCUAUUGCAUCACUACCAGAUGGACCUGCGUUGUAUUAGCUAGUAGGUGAGGUAACGGCUCACCUAGGCGACGAUACAUAGCCGACCUGAGAGGGUGAUCGGCCACACUGGGACUGAGACACGGCCCAGACUCCUUCGGGAGGCAGCAGUAGGGAAUCUUCGGCAAUGGGCGAAAGUCUGACCGAGCAACGCCGCGGGAGUGAAGAAGGUUGUCGGAUCGUAAAGCUCUGUUGUAAGAGAAGAACGGGUGUGAGAGUGGAAAGUUCACACUGUGACGGUAUCUUACCAGAAAGGGACGGCUAACUACGUG